AUUGAACGCUGGCGGCGUGCCUAAUACAUGCAAGUCGAACGGAGUGGCGCACGGGUGAGUAAUGUAUAGCUAAUCUGCCCUACACUAGAGGACAACAGUUGGUAACGGCUGCUAAUACUCCAUAGUGUAGGAUGAGGCUAUAUUGUAUCAGCUAGUUGGUGAGGUAAUGGCGCACCCAGGCUAUGACGCAUAACUGGUCUGAGAGGAUGAUCAGUCGAACUGGAACUGAGACACGGUCCAGACUCCUACGGGAGGGAGCAGUAGGGAAUAGUGCUCAAUGGGGGUGACCCUGAAGCAGCAACGCCGCGUGGAGGAUGACACUUUGCGGAGCGUAAACUCCUUUUGUUAGGGAAGCGGUACCUACCGAAUAAGCACCGGCUAACUCCGUGCCAGCAGCCGCGGUAAUUC
rnacentral:rRNA from 1 species